GACGAACGCUGGCGGCGUGCUUAACACAUGCAAGUCGAACGGAAAGGCCCUGCUUUUGUGGGGUGCUCGAGUGGCGAACGGGUGAGUAACACGAGAGUAACCUGCCCUUGACUCUGGGAUAACUUCAGGAAACUGGGGCUAAUACCGGAUAGGAGCUCCGGCUGCAUGGGGGGGGUUGGAAAGUUUCGGCGGUUGGGGAUGGACUCGCGGCUUAUCAGCUUGUUUGUGGGGUAGUGGCUUACCAAGGCUUUGACGGGUAGCCGGCCUGAGCGGGUGACUGGGCACAUUGCGACUGCGAUACGGCCCGGACUCCUGCGGGAGGCAGCAGUGGGGAAUGUUGCACACUGGGCGGGAGCCUGAUGCAGCAACGCCGCGUGCGGGAUGACGGCCUUCGGGUUGUAAACCGCUUUCGCCUGUGACGAAGCGUGAGUGACGGUAAUGGGUCAAGAAGCACCGGCUAACUACGUG
rnacentral:rRNA from 1 species